UACGUAGGCAGCGAGCGUUGUUCGGAAUUACUGGGCGUAAAGAGCGUGUAGGCGGUGCUCUAAGUUUGGUGUGAAAUCUCCCGGCUUAACUGGGAGGGUGCGCCGAAAACUGGAGUGCUCGAGCGUGGGAGAGGAAAGCGGAAUUCCUGGUGUAGCGGUGAAAUGCGUAGAUAUCAGGAGGAACACCUGCGGUGUAGACGGCUUUCUGGACCAUAGCUGACGCUGAGGCACGAAAGCGUGGGUAGCAAACAGG
rnacentral:rRNA from 1 species